rnacentral:lncRNA from 1 species
ACUGAUGCUCAGAGAAUAGCCAGUAUGCUUGAUCAUACUGACGGCAUGUGGCAGAGAGGACUGAAGUCCAGGUUCUACUGUGGGCAAAGCUUGGGCCCUUUCCACUCUGCUGUGCCUUCCUCACCACCCCAGUGACCUGGACAUGAAAGGCCUGCUUGGAUGAGCUGGUGGUGUCACUAGCAGCAGCUGCUAGGGUACCAGGCCUGGCGGGCUUGCCAUCCUGGCUUCCCUACUGGCCGGCGCAGGUCUUCAUGGACUGCAGCAUUCGGGACCUGAGUCCAUGCCCAUGCAGAGGCCCACUGCGUUUCCAGAAUGCAGGCAGGAGAAGCUGUAAUAGAUUCUCACCCUGCCAUGCGCACUGAUGCUCACAUUCUAAACAGUCAGGAGAGCAGAGCAGAGGAACACCAGUGCAUUUUGCCCGUGGGAAGCCCGCAUUGUGAGCCUUCCGUCCUUGGCGGUUGGCCGUGUCUGGAGGUGCCGGCUGACAGGCAACAUGCCUUUCUUCCUUCCUUUCUUUCUCUCUCUCUCUCUCUCUCUCUCUCUCGGAGUCUCUCUCUGUCUCGGCUCUCAGCAACCUCUGCAUCCCGGGUCCUGGUUCAAGCAAUUAUCUCAUCUCAGCCUCCCGAAUAGCUAGGAUUA